rnacentral:lncRNA from 1 species
AUCAGAGCCAUAACCCCUUUGAGAUCACUUCACAUCCAUAGAUCCAGCAAAUCCAGCAGCUCCCAUCCACAGAACAAAUUAGCGUCCAUGGAUUCAACUCCUCCAAGGUCCUCCCAACGACUUCCCUCAUCUCAGCUAUGAGCAACAUCCCUUGUAUCCAAGAAUCAAGCCGACUCCUUCAACGCGAUCAGCUCCCAGCUUAUCAUCUUCCCAACGUCCGAAUCAGCAACAACUCCUCUUCCGGAUAAACUUCUUCUCCCACGGAUCAAUCGCUUCCACAUCCUUUCCGACUCCCGUAUCCCAUCGAACAACCCAAACUUCCCAGCAUCAAAGGAUCUCUUCUCAGCCAUGAGCUUCAUCCACAUCAUUCCCUGCCUCAAAACAGA